GACAGAGGUUCCGAGCGUUAGGCGGAAUCACUGGGCUUAAAGCGUGUGUAGGCGGAUUUGUAAGUACCUUGUGAAAUCCCACGGCUCAACCGUGGAACUGCUUGGUAUACUGCUUAUCUUGGGCCAUCUAGGGGCUACCGGAACAAGUGGUGGAGCGGUGAAAUGCGUAGAUAUCACUUGGAACGCCAAUGGUGAAAACAGGUAGCUGGGGAUGUGCCGACGCUGAGACACGAAAGCCAGGGGAGCGAACGGG
rnacentral:rRNA from 1 species